GAUGAACGCUAGCGGCAGGCUUAACACAUGCAAGUCGAGGGGCAGCAUAAACAUUGCUUGCAAUGUUUGAUGGCGACCGGCGCGCGGGUGCGUAACGCGUAUGUAACCUACCUCAAACAGGGGCAUAACACUGAGAAAUUGGUACUAAUUCCCCAUAACACCUGAUAGGGCAUCCUAUUAGGUUGAAAGUUCCGGCGGUUUGAGAUGGACAUGCGUUGUAUUAGCUAGUUGGUGGGGUAACGGCUCACCAAGGCGACGAUACAUAGGGGGACUGAGAGGAUAAAUCCCCCCACACUGGUACUGAGAUACGGACCCAGACUCCUACGGGGAGGCAGCAGUGAGGAAUAUUGGGCAAUGGACGAAGUCUGACCCAGCC
rnacentral:rRNA from 1 species